GAACGAACGCUGGCGGCAUGCCUACCACAUGCAAGUCGAACGAGACCUUCGGGUCUAGUGGCGCACGGGUGCGUAACGCGUGGGAACCUGCCCUUAGGUUCGGAAUAACUCCCCGAAAGGGGUGCUAAUACCGGAUAAUGUCUUCGGACCAAAGAUUUAUCGCCUUUGGAUGGGCCCGCGUUGGAUUAGCUAGUUGGUAGGGUAAAAGCCUACCAAGGCGACGAUCCAUAGCUGGUCUGAGAGGAUGAUCAGCCACACUGGGACUGAGACACGGCCCAGACUCCUACGGAAGGCAGCAGUGGGGAAUAUUUGACGAUGGGCGAAGGCCUGAUCAAGCAAUGCCGCGUGAGUGAUGAAGGCCUUAGGGUUGUAAAGCUCUUUUACCCACGAUGAUAAUGACGGUACCGGGAGAAUAAGCACCGGCUAACUCCGUG
rnacentral:rRNA from 1 species